AAAACAAGUAAAAUACCCCCAAAAAUUCAAAGCUAAACCCAGCCAAAAGCCCUUCUUAUGAAUUGCAAGCAACACCAGCAAAAACAAUCUUUCUGCAUUUUCUGUGAUCCUCAAUUAUGUAUGGAGCAGCUUCGAGAUUAGCUUCAUCGGUUGGGUUGGUGGGGCUAGUGAGGCAGAAGUUGGAGAAAGAAAAGACAGGGUUACAGAUGCUUUGAUUGCUACGUGAGCAGCUGUGGAAGAAGGUAUUGUACCAGGUAAGUUAGUUUGUUUUAUUACAUAAAGUUUAAGCAUCUGAAUGUUUCGGCAUUCGGGGGUGGUGUUGCUCUCUUGUAUGCUGCAAAAGCUUUGGAAGACCUUCAAGCUCAAAAUGAAGACCAGAAAAGAGGCAUCCAAAUAAUUCAGAGUGCUCUCAAGCCACCUACAUACACAAUAGUUUCAAAUGCUGGAUUUGAUGCUGCUGUCAUUCUCGGAAAAUUAUUGGAGAUGAUCAUAAUUUGGGUGGUGAUGCGGCUAAAGGUGAAUAUGUCGAUAUGGUCAAGGCUGGAAUCAUAGAUCCCCUCAAAGUUGUCAGGACAGCCCUAGUGGAUGCUGCCAGUGUUUCAUUGCUAUUGACAACUACCGAUGCAGCAAUUGUGGAUAAUGCAAAUGAGAAAAAACAUCCUAGCCGAAUGCCAAACAAGGAUGAUAUGGAUUAUUAGAUAAACUAAAUGUGAGAGCUGAUUUUUCAAGUUUCAAGCGAUACGUGUACCAUAAUACAAGGAUAUAUUCAUUCUUGAAAACUGAAACUCUUACAUGGAAACCAAGAUUUUAAAUUUUGACACAAGGUGAUUGAAAUCCUUUCAAGUCA